GGGUUGUGAGGUUAAGCGACUAAGCGUACACGGUGGAUGCCCUGGCAGCCAGAGGCGAUGAAGGGCGUGCUAAUCUGCGAUAAGCGCCGGUAAGGUGAUAUGAACCGUUAUAACCGGCGAUACCCGAAUGGGGAAACCCAGUGUGAUUCGUCACACUAUCAUUAACUGAAUCCAUAGGUUAAUGAGGCGAACCGGGGGAACUGAAACAUCUAAGUACCCCGAGGAAAAGAAAUCAACCGAGAUUCCCCCAGUAGCGGCGAGCGAACGGGGAGGAGCCCAGAGCCUGAAUCAGCAUGUGUGUUAGUGGAAGCGUCUGGAAAGGCGCGCGAUACAGGGUGACAGCCCCGUACACAAAAGCGCAUGUGUUGUGAGCUCGAUGAGUAGGGCGGGACACGUGGUAUCCUGUCUGAAUAUGGGGGGACCAUCCUCCAAGGCUAAAUACUCCUGACUGACCGAUAGUGAACCAGUACCGUGAGGGAAAGGCGAAAAGAACCCCGGCGAGGGGAGUGAAAAAGAACCUGAAACCGUGUACGUACAAGCAGUGGGAGCACAGGUUUACCUGUGUGACUGCGUACCUUUUGUAUAAUGGGUCAGCGACUUAUAUUCUGUAGCAAGGUUAACCG
rnacentral:rRNA from 1 species